rnacentral:rRNA from 1 species
GUGCCAGCCGCCGCGGUAAGACGAGGGAUCCUAGCGUUGUUCGGAAUUAUUGGGCGUAAAGCGGGUGUAGGCGGAUCUGUAAGUCAGGUGUGAAAUCCCAGGGCUCAACCCUGGAAGUGCACUUGAUACUGCUGAUCUUGAGUGUGGUAGAGGUUACUGGAAUUCCUGGUGUAGUGGUAAAAUACGUAGAUAUCAGGAGGAAUACCGGAGGCGAAGGCGAGUAACUGGGCCAACACUGACGCUGAGACCCGAAAGCGUGGGGAUCAAACAGGAUUAGAUACCCUGGUAGUCCACGCCGUAAACGAUGGAUACUUGUUGUUAGAGGUAUUGACCCCUCUAGUGACGCAGCUAACGCGUUAAGUAUCCCGCCUGGGGAGUACGGUCGCAAGAUUAAAACUCAAAGGAAUUGACGG